UGCAAGGCCGCGCAUUGACCAAUGCGCGGCCGUUCUGAAUGGUGAGUCACGUCUGCGUCACGCCCACGUGACGCAUGACGUGACUUGGGAUUCCCCAUUUAAAGCCGCUCUCCAAGCGGUCUUGGUGAGGUGCACGGCGCUCUCCCUGGGGAUGGACAGACAAUACACUAUUGAUGGUAAGCAGACCUUAAUUAACAGCAAUCUUGCAACAAUCAUUGCGGUGUAAUUUUACCAUUGGACACCAUUACUCUAAAGCAACCGUCUGACAUUAUAUCUUCCCCAGAUUGAUCUGCUUGUGUUUACCUACACUGGCUUUCUUUCAUUGCUUGCUGUUAUCUAAUUGUCAUCAACAUGUAUCCACCACCCCAGUAUUCAUUAUAGUGAUUACAAGUUCUUGGAGGAGCCCGCUCCUACUAUCCCUCACGUGCGCCCUAGGGGGCCAUUGCCUAAGCCAAGUUACGAUCACCUUGGCUCAUCAAGGUGAGUAGUCCUUGACUCUCUUAUAAGGCGCAAACACUGAAAUCUAUGUAUCUUUUCCAUUAAAUCAGUGUAUAUAAUUGCUUGUUAUUAUUAUUAUUUUGUUACUUAUAUUUGUUAUAUGUACCCUAUAGAUAUUUCUCCUGAAGAAGCAGUUAUAGACUGCGAAACCGGUCGAGACUACGACUCCACUGUAUUAGAAAAUAACGGUUUUGUUAUCAUAUCUGAUAUGUGGGGUUGUCCCAAACUCUUUUGCUGUUUUGUACACUGUGCAUUACUAUUAUAAUUAUUUAAUAAAUUUUUACAUAUAUAUUUUA